AGUGAGGCUUUUCCCUAACAACACUGAGUCUUGGGUUUUAGUUACUUGUGGUUCUGGUUUUAAUAGACUUAGCUGCUGUGGGAUGCCUAAGAAGCUUAAAUUUUGGGUGCCUUAGGAUCACCAGGAAGAAAAACAAACAAACCAAUAAAGAUUUGGAUAACAAGAGAGAAGUUGAUUGAAAACUGUCAACUCCCUGAAAGUUUUAAACCAGGCAUGAAGCCUCCUGUGUCCCUCAUUCAUCAUGUUUCUGAAGACAGUUGACCUGUUGACUUAAAGACAUCAUUUAAGAGAGUCAGCCAGAACUAAUGACAGUGUGAAGACCUGCUAACCAUGUUCUCAAAAGUAAGUGAGCUGUUCCUAAACCUAUUGGGUCUAGAAGUGGUCUCAGUUUAUGGGCAGCUGACGAUGUCUCACUAUGAAGAACUUGUCCUGAUGGUGUGCAGCUGCUGAAGAUGUAUAGCAGGGAUCUUCCAUGGGAGGUCCAAGAAGGCUGAUAUCUUCCAGGCUUGCCUAUAGGUAUAUGUGGCUCACAUGCCAAGAUGGGAACAAGUAAGUCUGAGCUUGGAGAACGUUUGAUACUGCUAAGCAGAGAAGAACCAGGGACUGUGCUCCUUCUACUUAUAAAGGAAUAAAAUUAACUGUAAAGCAUCCUUGGGCAG